AUACUUACGUGGCAGUGGAGAAAUCAUUUUCACAAAGAUUGUUUUUUUCUAGGUUAGGCUUAUCCUUAGUAUUCCUCUAGAUAUGCUGACACUGGUGAUUUUCCCAAAUGUGGGAACUCCACUGAAUAAUUUUAUGGUAUUGGGGAACUGCAUUUUUGCUUUUCCCUG